rnacentral:lncRNA from 10 species
CUUCACCUGGCGGAUCACUUCCAUGAUAGUAGGACUGAACUUCUGAGAGGUUAAGCGACAUGGCACAGAUUACACAGAAGAGAAAGAUUUUGAAGAUCAGAUGAAGUAGUUACCUUGGAAUACUGCAGAAGAAGGUAUCCAAAGGUUUAGGGGUAUUGGAAUGUUAGAGUUAUGAUGUAAACCUGCUCACUCACCCAAGGAGGGUCCAGAGGGUACACCUUUCACCAGGACUGUCAGAAAGAAAUUUGCGAGGGCACCUCAGCAUCCCCUAAGUACUCUAACUCAAAUCAUCAAAACAGAGAGUCACAGUUCCUUUGUAAAAG